UCAGCCGCGGUAAUACGGAGGGUGCGAGUCGAAACGGAAUUACUGGGCGUAAAGGGUGCGUAGGUGGUUUAAUAAGUUAUCUGUGAAAUCCCUGGGCUCAACCUGGGCAGGUCAGAUAAGACUGUUUGACUCGAGUAUGGGAGAGGGUAGUGGAAUUUCCGGUGUAGCGGUGAAAUGCGUAUAGAUCGGAAGGAACACCAGUGGCGAAGGCGGCUACCUGGCCUAAUACUGACACUGAAGCACGAAAGCGUGGGGAGCAAACAGGAUUAAAUACCCUGGUAGUCCACGCCGUAAACGAUGUCAACUACAUUGUUGGAAA
rnacentral:rRNA from 1 species